rnacentral:rRNA from 1 species
UUGACGGUACCCAUAAAGUAAGGGUCGGCUAACUACGUGCCAGCAGCCGCGGUAAUACGUAGGACCCAAGCGUUGUCCGGAAUCACUGGGUGUAAAGGGAGCGCAGGCGGACUUUCAAGUCGAUGGUGAAAUCUUACGGCUCAACCGUAAAACUGCCGUCGAUACUGCUUGUCUUGAGUGUGGAAGAGGGUGGCAGAAUUCAUGGUGUAGCGGUGAAAUGCGUAGAUAUCAUGAAGAAUACCGGUAGCGAAGGCGGCCACCUGGUCCAUUACUGACGCUCAUGCUCGAAAGCGUGGGGAUCAAACAGGAUUAGAUACCCUGGUAGUCCACGCCCUAAACGAUGAAUACUCGGUGUUGGGUCUUUAGACUCAGCGCCUAAGCCAACGCAUUAAGUAUUCCACCUGGGAAGUACGAUCGCAAGGUUGAAACUCAAAGGAAUUGACGGGGGCCCGCACAAGCAGUGGAGCAUGUGGUUUAAUUCGAUGCAACGCGAAGAACCUUACCUGGGCUUGAAAGGCUAGAUUUUAGUCUCUGAAAGGGGAUUACCCGCAAGGGGUCUAGUACAGGUGCUGCAUGGCUGUCGUCAGCUCGUGCCGUGAGGUGUUAGGUUAAGUCCUGCAACGAGCGCAACCCCUACACUUAGUUGCCAUCAGGUAAUGCUGGGCACUCUAAGUGGACUGCCUACGCAAGUAGCGAGGAAGGUGGGGAUGACGUCAAGUCCUCAUGGCCCUUACGCCCAGGGCCACACACGUGCUACAAUGGCCACUACAAAGGGUUGCUAAGCCGCAAGGUGGAGCCAAUCCCAAAAAAGUGGUCUCAGUUCAGAUUGUGGGCUGCAACUCGCCCACAUGAAGCUGGAAUUGCUAGUAAUCGCAGAUCAGCACGCUGCGGUGAAUACGUUCCCGGGCCUUGUACACACCGCCCGUCAAGCCAUGGAAGCUGAGGGUACCCGAAGCCGCUGUGCUAACCGCAAGGAGGCAGGC